UUUCUGUCUGCCUCUCAUUGGCAAACAUGACAUUUCAGCAAUUUCUCUAAAGAGGAAUGACUGGGGGGUAUGUACAGCAGGCAUCAUGUAAGAAAAACUCACACCUCACGACAUAUUUGUUUGAUUUAUUCAGCAGACUUCAGCAAAGGAAAGAUGUGAAAGCAACCCUUGAUUGUUGAUUUUUUGUUCAUUCUGAAAAUCACAUCGCCAGAUCCAACACCUUUUUAUCCCAAUCACCAGUACAAGCCACCCGUAUCAGUGUACACUGUGGCUGACCGAUCCAUAGUGAUGCUUUGAGCACAAGGAAGGACUUUCUGGAAUCUACUUAUCUGACCAAGAAAGCUUCUUUCCAAAAGAAAUGCAAUUGUCUUGAGACUUCUUCCCUAGGGAUCUGAUCAACUAACCAGAAAAGAGCAACCACCAGAGAAGAGACUGUAGUCGUACAGUGUCCAGAAGGCAAAAGGACAAGUAUGCACUGCCCUACUUACCUACUUUCCACACUGCUGCACAGGAAAAUCUGACAGAGGACAAUAACAAACAUCUCACCAGCUCAUGCGUUCUUUUUUGAUCCUAAUUCCGAGAGACUCACCAAAGACAUGAAGAGAAAACAAACAAUACUUUUCUUGGAAAUAUUGUAAUUGCUGGUACAUUUGUUGUUCUGGCAUAAAGUAGAAAUUGUCAGUUACCAGAACAAUACUCAGUGAACUUAUGAAUAUAUGGUAAAUAUUAAACACAUCCCACUUGGAUGAGAAGAUAUGUGAGUCGAUGAGUAUAGCUAAGUCUAAAGUUAGAUGUGUUCCAUAAACAUAGUGUUUAUGGAGUUGGUGCAUAUUCAC
rnacentral:lncRNA from 1 species